rnacentral:rRNA from 1 species
CCUACGUGGCGCUGCAGUGAGGAAUAUUGGUCAAUGGGCGCGAGCCUGAACCAGCCAAGUAGCGUGAAGGAUGACUGCCCUACGGGUUGUCAACUUCUUUUAUAAAGGAAUAAAGUGAGGCCCGUGUGCCUUUUUGUAUGUACUUUAUGAAUACGGAUCGGCUAACUCCGUGCCAGCAGCCGCGGUAAUACGGAGGAUCCGAGCUUUAUCCGGAUUUAUGGGGUUUAAAGGGAGCGUAGAUGGGUUGUUAAGUCAGUUGUGAAAGUUUGCGGCUCAACCGUAAAAGUGCAAUUGAUACUGGCAGUCUUGAGUACAGUUGAGGUAGGCGGAAUUCGUGGUGUAGCGGUGAAAUGCUUAGAUAUCACGAAGAACUCCGAUUGCGAAGGCAGCUUACUAAACUGCCACUGACAUUGAUGCUCGAAAGUGUGGGUAUCAAACAGGAUUAGAUACCCUGGUAGUC